rnacentral:rRNA from 1 species
AAGUCGUAACAAGGUUUCCGUAGGUGAACCUGCGGAAGGAUCAUUACCAUGGAGGCUUCGGCCGACAUAGAGGUAGGACCCUUUGUUUAUGAGUACCCUUUGUUUCCUCGGCGGGCUCGCCUGCCACGAGGACAACCAAAAACCUUUGCAGUAGCAGUAACUUCAGUCAGAAAUAAAUAUUAAAACUUUCAACAACGGAUCUCUUGGUUCUGGCAUCGAUGAAGAACGCAGCGAAAUGCGAUAAGUAGUGUGAAUUGCAGAAUUCAGUGAAUCAUCGAAUCUUUGAACGCACAUUGCGCCCUUCGGUAUUCCGUUGGGCAUGCCUGUUCGAGCGUCAUUUAAACCUUCAAGCUCUGCUUGGUGUUGGGUGUUUGUUCCGCCCCCGUGCGUGGACUCGCCUUAAAUUCAUUGGCAGCCGGUAUGUUGGCUUCGUGCGCAGCACAUUGCAAACGAUCCAAGCAUACCCCCUCCCAUUAAGCUCUCCUUUUUACUUUGACCUCGGAUCAGGUAGGGAUACCCGCUGAACUUAAGCAUAUCAAUAAGCGGAGGAAAAGAAACCAACAGGGAUUGCCCCCAGUAACGGCGAGUGAAGCGGCAAUAGCUCAAAUUUGAAAUCUGGCCCUUUCAGGGUCCGAGUUGUAAUUUGCAGAGGGCGCUUUGGAGUUGGCAGCAGCCUAAGUUCCUUGGAACAGGUCAUCAUAGAGGGUGAGAAUCCCGUAUGUGGCUGCCUGCCUUCGCCGUGUAAAGCCCCUUCGAUGAGUCGAGUUGUUUGGGAAUGCAGCUCUAAAUGGGAGGUAAAUUUCUUCUAAAGCUAAAUAUUGGCCAGAGACCGAUAGCGCACAAGUAGAGUGAUCGAAAGAUGAAAAGCACUUUGGAAAGAGAGUCAAAAAGCACGUGAAAUUGUUGAAAGGGAAGCGCUUGCAGCCAGACGUGCCCGCAGUUGCUCAUCUGGGGAUUUCCCCAGUGUACUCUUCUGUAGGCAGGCCAGCAUCAGUUCAGGCGGUUGGAGAAAGGCCUGUGUCAUGUGUCUGCCUUCGGGCAGUGUUAUAGGGCAGGUGGAAUGCAACCAGCUUGAACUGAGGUCCGCGCAUCUGCUAGGAUGCUGGCGUAAUGGCUGUAAGCGGCC